GCAGCAGCCGCGGUAAUACGUAGGUCCCGAGCGUUGUCCGGAUUUAUUGGGCGUAAAGCGAGCGCAGGCGGUUAGAAAAGUCUGAUGUGAAAGCCCACGGCUCAACCGUGGAGGGUCAUUGGAAACUGUUAAACUUGAGUGCAGGAGAGAAAAGUGGAAUUCCAUGUGUAGCGGUGAAAUGCGUAGAUAUAUGGAGGAACACCAGUGGCGAAGGCGACUCUCCGGUCUGUAACUGACGCUGAGGCUCGAAAGCGUGGGUAGCAAACAGGAUUAGAUACCCCCGUAGUCCCUGUCUCUUAUAC
rnacentral:rRNA from 1 species